rnacentral:ncRNA from 1 species
GCCCUCUGGGGAGCUCGCGCGGGGCGGGCUGAGAGGAGGCGCGAAUCGCCUCGACCCUUUGAACCUGUCGGGAUAAUGCCUGCGAAGGGAGAUCGGU